rnacentral:rRNA from 1 species
AGAGUUUGAUCCUGGCUCAGAACGAACGCUGGCGGCAGGCCUAACACAUGCAAGUCGAGCGCGCUUUCGGGUGAGCGGCGGACGGGUUAGUAACGCGUGGGAACGUGCCCUUCUCUACGGAAUAGCCUCUGGAAACGGAGAGUAAUACCGUAUACACCCUUUGGGGGAAAGAUUUAUCGGAGAAGGAUCGGCCCGCGUUAGAUUAGGUAGUUGGUGGGGUAACGGCCUACCAAGCCUACGAUCUAUAGCUGGUUUUAGAGGAUGAUCAGCAACACUGGGACUGAGACACGGCCCAGACUCCUACGGGAGGCAGCGGUGGGGAAUCUUAGACAAUGGGGGCAACCCUGAUCUAGCCAUGCCGCGUGAGUGAUGAAGGCCUUAGGGUCGUAAAGCUCUUUCGCCUGUGAUGAUAAUGACAGUAGCAGGUAAAGAAACCCCGGCUAACUCCGUGCCAGCAGCCGCGGUAAUACGGAGGGGGUUAGCGUUGUUCGGAAUUACUGGGCGUAAAGCGCGCGUAGGCGGAUUAGAAAGUUGGGGGUGAAAUCCCGGGGCUCAACCCCGGAACUGCCUCCAAAACUGCUAGUCUAGAGUUCGAGAGAGGUGAGUGGAAUUCCGAGUGUAGAGGUGAAAUUCGUAGAUAUUCGGAGGAACACCAGUGGCGAAGGCGGCUCACUGGCUCGAUACUGACGCUGAGGUGCGAAAGUGUGGGGAGCAAACAGGAUUAGAUACCCUGGUAGUCCACACCGUAAACGAUGAAUGCCAGUCGUCGGAUAGUAUACUAUUCGGUGACACACCUAACGGAUUAAGCAUUCCGCCUGGGGAGUACGGUCGCAAGAUUAAAACUCAAAGGAAUUGACGG